CACGUAGGGCGCAAGCGUUGUCCGGAAUUAUUGGGCGUAAAGAGCUCGUAGGCGGUCUGUUGCGUCCGCUGUGAAAACCCGGGGCUUAACCCUGGGCUGGCAGUGGAUACGGACAGACUAGAGGUAGGUAGGGGAGAAUGGAAUUCCCGGUGUAGCGGUGAAAUGCGCAGAUAUCGGGAGGAACACCAGUGGCGAAGGCGACUCUUUGGCCUGUAACUGACACUGAGGCGCGAAAGCGUGGGGAGCAAACAGG
rnacentral:rRNA from 1 species